UUUAUCAUCGUCUUAUGCUUGGCUGACUAAAUCUAAAGAUGAUUUCUCUUCAGAAAAACGACAUGAUGUGUCAAAGGAGGACCUCAACAGGUUGGAUGGAGACGAGGACGUGAAGCUCCAGAAAAGCGUGGAGGAGCAGCUGGAGAGCCACAGGGAGGCUCAUCAGAAGCAGCUCAGCCGCCUGCGGGACGAAAUCGAAGACAAGCAGAGGAUGCUGGACGAGCUGACAGAGUGAGGAAACCUCCAGGAAAACCAAAACAUUUAUUCCUACGCUUCAAACUGCCUUCAAAGACGGAUCGAUGAGGAGACGCAGCAGGAAAUGUUUCGGCUUUUCAAACCCGACAUGGAAGAGGAAAAAGAUUUAAAAAACACUUUUCAGACUUUUUAAUGUCUGAAGAUUUAAUGAGACGCAUCUAUAAUUAACACCUGAACCAGAGCAGGAGGAAAAACACAAAAUCUGACCAAGUAUUUUUAUUCUAGUGUCUAAAUAUGUUAUUACACUUGAAAUUAGACUAAAUUAACUAGUAGGUAACCUUUCAGCAAAAUACAGGAGAACAGUAAGUACUUGUUAUAUUGGCAGAUUAUUUCGCUUAUAGCAUAGAAACAAUUUCAUUAUUAUAAGAGAAAUAAUCUGCCAGUGGAACCAGUUCUGUUCCAUCAGUUUUAAUGAAUCAUUCACUUAAAACAAGCUUUCUUGCUGAAAAGUUACUUGUAAGUUAUUUUUGUCUUAUUUCACAUGUACUAAGAUAUUUGCACUAGAAACGCAACCAAGAAUACUUGGCAAGAGUUUGUUGUUUUACAGUGAAAACAUAAAAAACUGAACUUUAACUGAAGAACCCGAAUGAGGAGGCGAACAUCUUCUGUUCAGACAAAACAAAAACGGGAUGUUUGCAAUUAAAGCAGGGCUGCAUUUUGUGCAAUGUGUUUUUAAAACCUGAACCAAGCUGCAUCUCUUUAAUAAAAACACUUUUUUAGCUAAUUACUGUAAGAUAAAACACCUUGGACCUGAGAUUUGGGCUGAAAGCAGGAAAUGGACAUCUGGUCCUGUUAUGGUCUGGGGUUUCGACAGACGAUUCAAGGACCAUAAUGUAGGUCUCUCAACAGAUCAUUUCAACUUGGAUAAACCAAAUUCAAAC